AGACGGAGAAAGGAGAAAUCUAUGUCAGUUUGAGGUUGAUGACAAAGAUCUCAUUUGGAACAAGAUUCUGAGUCUUCCUCCCUGUAGUCAGCCCUUUGGAAGUGAUGGCUAUCAAAGACUAAGAUACAUCCUUGGUAAAGAAAGAGUCAAGCAAAUUGAAGAAAUAAUGGUGGUGAUCUCAGUAGUUCAUUGAUGAGGGAUCAAUGGUGCCACCUGAUUAACUAAGACAUCCACACCUGCGACAUGGUUUGAUGUGGUUCCUGAAGAAACACCAGGGAACAGUUCGGGGAGUCUCCUAUUUCCUACAAGCAUUAAAUGUCCUGCAACCAGGAACAGAGCAUUGGACUGGAAAGGUAUGGACAAUAAUAUUCAGUCAGCAGUACAGAUAGGAAAUGAAGCUGAAUUAUACAGUGCUUAAAAACAUAUUGCUCUGAAUUAAGUGGAUGUUGAUUGAAAUUUAGGGUCUGUCACUUGUUUGAAAUGGGACUUUAGGCAAAUCAUUUCAUCUCUGUAUCCUUAGGAUCCUCAGAUACACAGUAGAGAAAAUAAUAUUACCUGCCUCCAAGAGCAUUGCAGGAAUUAAAGAGAUGAGGUAUAGAGAAUAUAUAGCUUGACACACAGUGGACAUUCUAUAAUUGUCAAUACCUAUUAUUUUAUAGAAAGGUAAAUAUCUACUAUGUGGCUUUAGGUCUAUUUCACGGUUAACUUUAAUCUACACAUACCCCUUUACUUAUGACGGGGUUAUGUCCUGAUAGAUCCUUUGUAAGUAAGUUGAAAAUACACUUAAUGCACCUAACUACUGAAUAUCAUAACUUAGCCUAGCCUACCUUAAACAUACUCAGGACACUUACCUUAGCUUACAGUUGGCCAAAAGCAUCUAGCACAAAGCCUAUUUUAUAUGAACGUUAUAAAAAUUUGAAUCAACAUUCAAAAUUUGAAGCACAGUUGUUUCUACUGAACAUAUAGUGAUUUCACACCAUCAUAAAGUUGAAAAAUCAUUAAGUUGAACUAUGGUAGGUCUGGGACUGUCUGUAGUCAAUUCAUCCUGGAGAUAUUUCCCCAAAUAUUACUUUGUACUGAU